UUCUGACGUCCAGUUCUGACUACUAGUUCUGACUCCCAGGUCCAGUUCUCUGUUCUGACUCCCAGUUCUGACUCUUAGGCCCGGUUCUCUGUUCUGACUCCUAGUUCUGACUCUCAGGCCCGGUUCUCUGGCCCGGUUCUCUGUUCUGACUCCCAGUUCUGACUCCCAGUUCUGACUACCAGGUCCAGUUCUCUGUUCUGACUCCCAGUUCUGACUCCCAGUUCUGACUACCAGGUCCAGUUCUCUGUUCUGACUCCCAGUUCUGACUCUUAGGCCCGGUUCUCUGUUCUGACUCCCAGUUCUGACUCUCAGGCCCGGUUCUCUGGCCCGGUUCUCUGUUCUGACUCCCAGUUCUGACUACCAGGUCCAGUUCUCUGUUCUGACUCCCAGUUCUGACUCCCAGUUCUGACUACCAGGUCCAGUUCUCUGUUCUGACUCCCAGUUCUGACGUCCAGUUCUGACUCCCAGGUCCAGUUCUCUGUUCUGACUCCCAGGUCCGGUUCUAUGUUCUGACUCCCAGUUCUGACGUCCAGUUCUGACUCCCAGGUCCAGUUCUCUGUUCUGACUCCCAGUUCUGACGUCCAGUUCUGACUCCCAGGCCCGGUUCUCUGUUCUGACUCCCAGUUCUGACGUCCAGUUCUGACUCCCAGGUCCAGUUCUCUGUUCUGACUCCCAGUUCUGACGUCCAGUUCUGACUCCCAGGUCCAGUUCUCUGUUCUGACUCCCAGUUCUGACUUCCAGGCCCGGUUCUCUGUUCUGACUCCUAGUUCUAGUUCUCUGUACUGACUCCCAGUUCUGACUCCCAGUUCUGACUACCAGGUCCAGUUCUCUGUUCUGACUCCCAGUUCUGACGUCCAGUUCUGACUCCCAGGUCCAGUUCUCUGUUCUGACUCCCAGGUCCGGUUCUAUGUUCUGACUCCCAGUUCUGACGUCCAGUUCUGACUCCCAGGUCCAGUUCUCUGUUCUGACUCCCAGUUCUGACGUCCAGUUCUGACUCCCAGGCCCGGUUCUCUGUUCUGACUCCCAGUUCUGACGUCCAGUUCUGACUCCCAGGUCCAGUUCUCUGUUCUGACUCCCAGUUCUGACGUCCAGUUCUGACUCCCAGGUCCAGUUCUCUGUUCUGACUCCCAGUUCUGACGUCCAGUUCUGACUCCCAGGUCCAGUUCUCUGUUCUGACUCCCAGUUCUGACUCCCAGGCCCGGUUCUCUGUUCUGACUCCCUGUUCUGACUCUCAGUUCUGACUCCCAGGCCCGGUUCUCUGUUCUGACUCCCUGUUCUGACUCUCAGUUCUGACUCUCAGGUCCAGUUCUCUGUUCUGACUCCCAGUUCUGACUCUCUGUUCUGACUCCCAGGUCCAGUUCUCUGUUCUGACUCCCAGUUCUGACUCCCAGGCCCGGUUCUCUGUUCUGACUCCCAGUUCUGACGUCCAGUUCUGACUCCCAGGUCC